rnacentral:rRNA from 1 species
UACGUAGGAGGCAAGCGUUGUCCGGAAUCAUUGGGCGUAAAGAGCGUGUAGGCGGUUCGGUAAGUCGGCUGUGAAAGUCCAGGGCUCAACCCUGGGAUGCCGGUCGAUACUGCCGGACUAGAGUUCGGAAGAGGCGAGUGGAAUUCCCGGUGUAGCGGUGAAAUGCGCAGAUAUCGGGAGGAACACCUAUGGCGAAGGCGGUUCUCUGGGACGGUACUGACGCUGAGACGCGAAAGCGUGGGGAGCGAACAGG